AUCUGUCAUCAAGAAAGAAUGAUCGGCCAUUAAAUGUUGACAGGAAAGAUAACCAAACGUUUAAAUCCUCUUUAGCCUCGCCAUUAAGUUUUAUUAGGUGAUGAGAGAAACGGACGCCGUGGGUGAGAUAGAUCAGUCCACGCAAAAAUGCCCUUCCUGGGGUGACGACGCUGCACGCAAAAUUUAACAGGCCAACUAGGGACUGAAUUUCGCGCAAAGUAACUUUUUUGCGCCUCAAAAAUUCGCUGAUAAACUCCACGCAUUUUUGCAGCUUAUUGCGAGGUAAACACGCUUCAAACUUGAUGGUAUCAAGCUCAAUUCCGGCGAAAGAUAGAGUUGUCGAAGGCCCAAAGGUUUUCUCUUGGGCCAGCGGCAGACUAAUAAAUGCACAAAAUGCUAGAAAGCGAUGUAACUGAGUCUGAC